UUAUUACUUUUAUCAGGUUAUUUCUUCAUAUAUAACUAAUUCAUAAUUCAGAAACCAUAAAAAUCUGAAGCAAACUUCUAAUCUGUCAUAAAUUAACAGGUUUCAAAACAUGUCACAUUCUAGGAAACAUUUACAUAAUUAGUCUCAAAGCUGUAAAUAUUAGAUAAAUUCAUAGUACUUAAGUGGCAUAUUAAAUCUUGCUCCUUAAAGAACUCUUUAGUUUCCCUCUAUUUCAACCAUAAAUAUGACUUUACUAUAAGGUGUGUACCAUGGCACUCUGCUCAGCUGGCAUCUAUUUGUGUUACAUCAGAUUUAAAUAUAUAACAAAUUUAAUCCAUUUCUUAAUAAAUAUAUAGACUUUUUAA
rnacentral:lncRNA from 1 species